rnacentral:rRNA from 1 species
UACGGAGGGUGCAAGCGUUAUCCGGAUUCACUGGGUUUAAAGGGUGCGUAGGCGGGUUGGUAAGUCCGUGGUGAAAUCCCCAAGCUUAACUUGGGAACUGCCGUGGAUACUAUCAAUCUUGAAUAUCGUGGAGGUAAGCGGAAUAUGUCAUGUAGCGGUGAAAUGCUUAGAUAUGACAUAGAACACCAAUUGCGUAGGCAGCUUACUAAGGUGCAAUUGACGCUGAGGCACGAAAGCGUGGGGAUCAAACAGG